CCGUCGCUUCAACUCGUCGAGAAGGAGCUGAGCCGCCGCCAUGCCUGGAGGCCAUUCAACGCCAGGAGCCUGGAGAGGCUGAUGGAGCGCCAGGCAAAGGAUGCUCGCAAGCCAGGGCCUCUGCCGGCCCCGUCAAGCACCGAAGGGGG